CCGCUGGCUGCGGGUCCAUCGCCGAUACAUCCCGCGAGGCAGAGAGAAGGGAGGGAGAGAGGGAGAGGCAAAACAAAUGCAGAGGUAGACAGAGGGAGAGCGCGCGAGAGAGAGAGAAGAGGGCGAGAGAGAGAGAUAGCCGCGCGUACCGAGGCUGCUGCACAGACGCGGAGUCGCCACCGUCGCACGCUUACCAUUUUAAUUGAUCUGGACAAUCAAAACAGCGCGGGCUUCUAUUAUAACCAUCGAUUCGCGGACAACAGAGCCUCUCGCUUUGCUCGAAAGGAGGGCUUCCACGAAAAAAAUGAGCCGUAGGCACAAUUACUUUUGUAUGUUAGUGAACAUGCCUUCGAUCAGUGUUUCCUUCCACGCUUGAAGUUAGCCAUGCCUGUGACCUCGGUCUGAUUAUUCAAAGGCUUUCAAAGUCAGGCAGGCGAAACGGCGCGGGGUUAAGGCUGGCGACCCCUGCAUUAUUGACCAGGCAGCCCAUUAAAGUGACCGGCUGAGUAGACGUUGGGUGCCUCUGAGGUUAGCCGGCAUGGAUUGAAUCGAUCCAGGAGCCGUUUUCACUCUCUCAGUCCCGCAGACAAUAUUGAUCCCGCUCUUCUUUUGAAGGCGAGAAGCGGUGAAGGCGAUGGACACUGCGAAAUACAGUAAUUAAAUAAAUAUAUAAAACGCCAAACACGCACGCUUGGAUGUGCGGAUGCGUCCGCGUCCAAAAUAAACACACACGUGACCGCCGUGUGUGUCAAAGCGCCGAUUUCAAUCAAGCAGCACGCGCAUCCGAUGGAUAGAUAACGCUGCACACAGACGCUUCCACGGGGCACUUCCUCAACAUCACCUCCUACAACCCACACUUUGUUUCAACCCUUCAUAACACCGGCAUCAUCAUCACUACCACCAUUACCACAGCCACUAUCAUCCCUACAUCUCCCCCCCCCUACCUCUUUCUCCAAUAACCACCCUGCCGAAGCCAGCCAUCCAGCACACAAAGCAGCCCCCGCCACUCUACCCAGCCGUGCUCCACCACACAGGCGCAUGCAGCAAGAGACGCCGGGUGUGUAAUGUGUGUAAUGUUAUGCGCGCGCUGUGUUAUUUAUUGGGCGCGCCGCUCUGAGUGGGAUCUCGCGCGCUCAGCUAAUGCGCUGCUGCGCCGCUCGGCAUCAUCUCGCUCGCUUCUCGACAUCGCUCGAGCAGCAGCAGCAGCGGCGGAGGAGGCAGCGGUGGCAUCGCCAGCAACAACAGCAGCAGCAAGUUAUUUUAUUUAUUUACUUAAAUCGGAAACCGCCCGUCGCAGCCGUACACCGAAGUACAUACCGAGAGCCACGGGGGGGAGGGGGGUCGGGCAGCGAGCGUUGCGGGGCGGCCCCCGCACCGCGUUCCCCUCUCCGCUAUCCACGCCGCGCGCGCGGUUCGCGGGCCUCACCUGCGGCGCUGUUUACACAGGUGUACUGUAGGUGUACUGGAGGUGUACUGGAGGUUUACUGUCGGCAUCGGGCGUGCAGUACACGUGAACGCGCGCUCAGCAAAGCGCGCUGCUCCUGACGGGCGGCGUGUACGGGCGAGGGGACGCGGGCCACAGAGAGCCAGCGGAGGAGCUCCGUGGUCAUCGCCGGGACUCGUGCGGGAUGCGUAAUGCUAUCCGCGCACUCCCACGACGCACUGGUGUGCUGGUUGACAGCGGUGGGUCAGACGAGGUGCAAUAGAAGUGCCAACAUCACUUGCCCCGACGUGAAUGGCCGGUGACCACAACCCCGUGGCAGCACUUCGCCACCACACAGUGGACGGUGUUCAGUUCCCUGAACCCUCACCCUGAACACCGCUCCUGCCCAGCGGGAAGCCGCUCCUCCAUCUGCGCUGGAGGAGGGGGGCGGCGCUCCCCACGACCGGUGGGGGCAGUGGGGCGCGCUGGGGGGAACGAGAAAACCAAAACCUGGGCGGAGGGCAACCCGAGCGCUGGGAAGAGUCGGGGACAGCAGCGGGAGCAGGAUGA